rnacentral:rRNA from 1 species
UACGUAGGGCGCAAGCGUUGUCCGGAAUUAUUGGGCGUAAAGAGCUCGUAGGCGGCCUGUCGCGUCUGCUGUGAAAUCCCGGGGCUUAACCCCGGGCGUGCAGUGGAUACGGGCUGGCUGGAGGCAGGCAGGGGAGAACGGAAUUCCCGGUGUAGCGGUGAAAUGCGCAGAUAUCGGGAGGAACACCGGUGGCGAAGGCGGCAUCCUGGCCAUGUCCUGACGCUCAGGGGCGAAAGCGUGGGGAGCAAACCGG